rnacentral:rRNA from 1 species
GAUGAACGCUGGCGGCGUGCCUAAUACAUGCAAGUCGAGCGAACAGACGAGGAGCUUGCUCCUCUGACGUUAGCGGCGGACGGGUGAGUAACACGUGGAUAACCUACCUAUAAGACUGGGAUAACUUCGGGAAACCGGAGCUAAUACCGGAUAAUAUAUUGAACCGCAUGGUUCAAUAGUGAAAGACGGUUUUGCUGUCACUUAUAGAUGGAUCCGCGCCGCAUUAGCUAGUUGGUAAGGUAACGGCUUACCAAGGCGACGAUGCGUAGCCGACCUGAGAGGGUGAUCGGCCACCCUGGAACUGAGACAGGGUCCAGACUCCUACGGGAGGCAGCAGUAGGGAAUCUUCCGCAAUGGGCGAAAGCCUGACGGAGCAACGCCGCGUGAGUGAUGAAGGUCUUCGGAUCGUAAAACUCUGUUAUUAGGGAAGAACAAAUGUGUAAGUAACUAUGCACGUCUUGACGGUACCUAAUCAGAAAGCCACGGCUAACUACGUG